CUUGAUUAUAUUCACCUGUGACAUGUUACCUAAUUAGUUGAUAAAUAUCCUUGUGUUUGUCUACUGCUGGAAUCAACAAAGCUGUCUUUGAUGGGAUUCCACCCACAUCCUCAUGGCGCUCAAAGCGGGUUUCUAUGAGGAGAAUGGAGAGAUAACAACUGACAUCAAAGCCUGGGGGAAAAUAAACUGUCUGCGGAUGCUCCAGAAGAUGAUAAACUUAGAAGGGACUUCAAACCUAGAAGGGACCUCAUAUGUCCAAAAGGGGAAGAAGAAGAAGAAGAAAAAAAACAGUAUCAGUGGAAGUGCUAAAUAAAUCACAAAUAUUAUAAUAUAUCAGAAUUUACAGGGUGUUCAACUAGA